CCUACGGGAGGCAGCAGUGGGGAAUUUUCCGCAAUGGGCGAAAGCCUGACGGAGCAAUACCGCGUGCGGGACGAAGGCUUUUGGGUAGUAAACCGCUUUUGUUAGGGAAGAAUAAAUGACGGUACCUAACGAAUCAGCAUCGGCUGACUCCGUGCCAGCAGCCGCGGUAAUACGGGGGAUGCAAGCGUUAUCCGGAAUUAUUGGGCGUAAAGCGUCCGCAGGUGGUUUAUCAAGUCUGCUGUCAAAGCGUGGGGCUUAACCCCAUAAAGGCAGUGGAAACUGAGAGACUAGAGUACGGUAGGGGUAGCGGGAAUUCCCAGUGUAGCGGUGAAAUGCGUAGAUAUUGGGAAGAACACCAGCGGCGAAGGCGCGCUACUGGGCCGAAACUGACACUCAUGGACAAAAGCUAGGGGAGCGAAAGGGAUUAGAUACCCCUGUAGUCCUAGCUGUAAACGAUGACAACUAGGUGUUGCGCGUAUCGACCCGUGCAGUGCCGUAGCUAACGCGUUAAGUUGUCCGCCUGGGGAGUACGCACGCAAGUGUGAAACUCAAAGGAAUUGACGGA
rnacentral:rRNA from 1 species